UACGGGGGGAGCAAGCGUUGUUCGGAUUUACUGGGCGUAAAGGGCGCGUAGGCGGUCAGCACAAGUCAGUUGUGAAAUCUCCGGGCUUAACCCGGAAAGGUCAACUGAUACUGUGCGACUAGAGUGCGGAAGGGGCAACUGGAAUUCUCGGUGUAGCGGUGAAGUGCGUAGAUAUCGAGAGGAACACCUGCGGCGAAGGCGGGUUGCUGGGCCGACACUGACGCUGAUGCGCGAAAGCCAGGGGAGCGAACGGG
rnacentral:rRNA from 1 species